rnacentral:rRNA from 1 species
GCUCCUUGGUGAUUCAUAAUAACUUAACGAAUCGCAUGGCCUUGCGCCGGCGAUGGUUCAUUCAAAUUUCUGCCCUAUCAACUUUCGAUGGUAGGAUAGUGGCCUACCAUGGUCUUAACGGGUAACGGGGAAUUAGGGUUCUAUUCCGGAGAGGGAGCCUGAGAAACGGCUACCACAUCCAAGGAAGGCAGCAGGCGCGCAAAUUACCCAAUCCCAACACGGGGAGGUAGUGACAAUAAAUACUGAUACAGGGCUCUUUCAGGUCUUGUAAUUGGAAUGAGUACAAUCUAAAUCCCUUAACGAGGAACAAUUGGAGGGCAAGUCUGGUGCCAGCAGCCGCGGUAAUUCCAGCUCCAAUAGCGUAUAUUAAAGUUGUUGCCGUUAAAAAGCUCGUAGUUGAACCUUGGACCUGGCUGAUCUGUCCUCCUAAUCGAGCGCACGGAUUCGGUCGGGUCUUUCCUCCUGGGGAGCCCCAUGCCCUUCACUGGGCGUGGUGGGGAACCAGGACUUUUACCUUGAAAAAAUUAGAGUGUUCAAAGCAGGCCUUUGCUCGAAUACAUUAGCAUGGAAUAAUAGAAUAGGACAUCGGUUCUAUUUUGUUGGUUUCUAGGACCGCUGUAAUGAUUAAUAGGGAUAGUCGGGGGCGUCAGUAUUCAAUUGUCAGAGGUGAAAUUCUUGGAUUUAUUGAAGACUAACUACUGCGAAAGCAUUCACCAAGGAUGUUUUCAAUAAUCAGUGAACGAAAGUUAGGGGAUCGAAGACGAUCACAUACCGUCGUAGUCCUAACCAUAAACUAUGCCGACUAGGGAUCGGACGGUGGUUUUUUUAUGCCCCGUUCGGCA